rnacentral:rRNA from 1 species
GACGAACGCUGGCGGCGUGCUUAACACAUGCAAGUCGAACGGAAAGGCCCCUUUGGGGGUACUCGAGUGGCGAACGGGUGAGUAACACGUGAGUAACCUGCCCUGGCUUUGGGGUAAACUUCGGGAAACGGGGGCAAAUACGGGAAAGGAAUCUUUGUGGCAGGGGGGGGGUUGGAAGGUUCCGGCGGUUUUGGUUGGACUCGCGGCUUAUCAGCUUGUUGGUGGGGUAGUGGCUUACCAAGGCUUUGACGGGUAGCCGGCCUGAGAGGGCGACCGGCCACAUUGGGACUGAGAUACGGCCCAGACUCCUACGGGAGGCAGCAGUGGGGAAUAUUGCACAAUGGGCGGAAGCCUGAUGCAGCAACGCCGCGUGCGGGAUGACGGCCUUCGGGUUGUAAACCGCUUUCAGCAGGGGCGAAGCUUGUGGUGACGGUACCUGCAGAAGAAGCACCGGCUAACUACGUG